rnacentral:rRNA from 1 species
CGGAACGUGCCCGAUCGUGGGGGAUAACGCAGCGAAAGCUGUGCUAAUACCGCAUACGAUCUACGGAUGAAAGCGGGGGAUCGCAAGACCUCGCGCGGACGGAGCGGCCGAUGGCAGAUUAGGUAGUUGGUGGGGUAAAGGCUCACCAAGCCUGCGAUCUGUAGCUGGUCUGAGAGGACGACCAGCCACACUGGGACUGAGACACGGCCCAGACUCCUACGGGAGGCAGCAGUGGGGAAUUUUGGACAAUGGGCGCAAGCCUGAUCCAGCCAUGCCGCGUGCAGGAUGAGGGCCUUCGGGUUGUAAACUGCUUUUGUACGGAACGAAAAGGUUCUUUCUAAUAAAGAGAGCUCAUGACGGUACCGUAAGAAUAAGCACCGGCUAACUACGUGCCAGCAGCCGCGGUAAUACGUAGGGUGCAAGCGUUAAUCGGAAUUACUGGGCGUAAAGCGUGCGCAGGCGGUGAUGUAAGACAGAUGUGAAAUCCCCGGGCUCAACCUGGGAACUGCAUUUGUGACUGCAUCGCUGGAGUGCGGCAGAGGGGGAUGGAAUUCCGCGU